rnacentral:lncRNA from 1 species
ACCAAACAAUUCCAUACCACUCAAUAAUCAUAUCAUAAGACCAUAUAUACAAAAUGAUUAUAACGCCAUACUCAAAAUAUACAAGCCAUUUUCGCAUGGCUAUACGAAUAUACAUUACCAAAAGAUACUUAAUUAACAACAAAGGUCAGUCCUAUACAUGCCAUUAUCAAAGUUCGACUGAAAGAGUACCAAAAAGGGGCUUAGAUAGUGUGGAUGACUUCGACUUUGACACUUCCGAGUCCAAUAGCUGACGAACAAAAUCUAUAAUACAGAGAAUUUAAGCAACAGAUUAAGCGUUUCGAUGCUUAGUAAGCUUAUAAGUAAGGAAAUCAUUUGAAACAAAAACACAAAAGAAAUAGCAUUCAUAAGGAUAAAUAAAUGUCUAUGCACAAGAUCACAUAUUCAUUUUAAUUUACACUUCUAUCAAUAUGUUUACACAUUCGAAAUCAAACUUAACUAAAUUUCAUUUGAUUCAAUUUCAUGUAACUCGAGUGAGCUUUAGACUUCAUAUAACCCUAAGGAAUGGUCGGGAGAACCUUAUUCGAUUUCAUAAUCACAACUUAUACUGUACCAAUUUUUUUUUUCAAUGUAUAUACGAUCCAUACCUGGUCAUAUUAGGGAUUAUGAGCACAUUAAUCGGAAUUGUUACGACAGAAUCGCACCUUUCCAAACAUAUAUACUUUCGGAAUUUGGCUCGGAUGUAAUAACCAGCACGAAUGCCUUCCGGACUUAACCCGGUUAUAAUAACCCGCACGAAUGCCUUCGGGACUUAGCCCGGUUAUAAUAACCCGCACGAAUGCCUUUGGGACUUACCCCGGUUAUAAUAACCCGCACGAAUGCCUUCGGGACUUAACCCGGUUACAAUAACCCGCACGAAUACUAUGCACAUAUAUAUAUCAUGACCUAUUAGCAUUUCCAUCGCUUUACUAGAAAACAAGUUUGACAUGCUUAUCAACCCUUACUCUUACGGCUCAAUAGCUACAUACACGUAAUACGAUUUCAUUUCGUUAUUCCACAUGAAUUCUUCAACCAUUCGACUCCAAGUCAUACAAAAUAAAAAUCAUUGGUUUCACUAUGUAAUUUAUAUAGAACCAUAAGAGAUCACAACUUAUCUACUAUGCUUUUAUAUGAUACCUAUAAAAUCACAAGCUAAGUUCCGUUAUUCAAAGACUUACCUCGGAUAUUUUGAAUAGUUGUGGAUAGACUACUCGAUCGCUUUUUCUUUUCCUUUAUCAAAUUUUGACCCUCUUGGCUCUUGAGCUUGAUUCAAUAAAUAGAUUUUAUUAAAUAACUUAUCAAUUUAGCGAUUCGAUUUAAUACAUGUAUACCAUACAAUUAAGUACAAAUGAUGUUAUUAACUAGAUAUUAAACAUCAUACAUAUGCUCUACUCAUGUACUAACGAACAUAAUACUAGCUUAAUACCAUGCAUAAUCGAAUUUAUUUAGCAUCAUUUAGUUUUAUAAAAAUACACAUAUCAUCCCAACUCGACACAAGAGUCAAAUUCAUCACUCAAACAUUCACACCAAUUUAUUUUAAUAUUUUGGCCUAAACCCUCAAUUGGCUAACAUAGCCUUAAUAUUUCAAUAUAAACACGUAUACAUCAAAGGCAAUUUAAAACACUUAACCCUUAUACUCAAUAAUGAAACCAAACCGUAUACCUAAUUAUUAAACACAUCACCUCUAAAUGCAUGUAUUAACUAACAUAUAUCCAAUCCACAUGCCAAGUUACCAUGAAUAAAUUAAACUUAUAUAUAUAUGUAUAUAUAACAUAGCUGAAUAUUCCUUAACAUAAAGGCAUUUAGUGACAUUUUAGAAAAAAAAUAUAAUAACCAUUUCCAUAAGUAUAUUUUCAUGCAAAGACCGUACCUAAAUCACCAACAUUUUAACUCCCAACCACUUAGACUUAACCUUUCAUACACUUAUAUCUAAUGUCAUAAGAAUUGCCGAAUGUCCAAAUUAACCAAGCUUAAAGAUUUAACCUUCAACACUUUAAUAUUCCACAACCUAUUCUUCAAGGCUUCAAAUAUAAAGUAAUUAACAUUUAUACUCUUAUGCCGAAUUAGCUAACACUUAUAAUCCAUAGCCGAAUGUCAUUAAACCUAAACCACCAUGAAAAUUUUACUUAUCACCUCAUACCUUAUUAUCAAAUUGAACUAAUUAUGCUUAUAAAAAUAAUAUCAAAACCGAAACCUAUGCAUAACAUUACUUAUAAUAUUCAAAAUUAUACCUAAAAAAAAUCAUAUACAUAGCCGAACCUUUUGAUAAUUAAGCCUCUAAUUAUUUAUUUCAAUUACCCAAACGAAAUUUUCUCACAUUUAACACUUAUAUACCAAUCAAUUGUUGAAGACAAACAAAAUCUCAUUUCCUCCCUUGACAACCACAACCGAAAGCUCAAACCAACAUCUAAAAUUCCAAGUUUUCAAAUGGGCUAAAUAUGGAACUAGCUAAUUGACUUAAACUAAGCUUAAAAUUUCAAAAACUAACAAAAUUUACUAACCUUCUCAAGCUUCAAGUGACCGAAUGUUUUUGCCCCAAUUCUUUCUUUCAAUUCGGCCAAGAAGACAAAGAUGAAGCUUUGUU